GUCUGGCUGGCUCAGUCAGUAGAGCACAUGACUCUUAAUCUCGGAGUUGUGGGUUCGAGCCCCAUAUUGGGUG
rnacentral:tRNA from 1 species